rnacentral:rRNA from 1 species
CUCCUAGGGGAGGCAGCAGUGGGGAAUAUUGGACAAUGGGGGGAACCCUGAUCCAGCCAUGCCGCGUGUGUGAAGAAGGCCUUAUGGUUGUAAAGCACUUUAAGCGAGGAGGAGGCUCUUUUGGUUAAUACCCAAGAUGAGUGGACGUUACUCGCAGAAUAAGCACCGGCUAACUCUGUGCCAGCAGCCGCGGUAAUACAGAGGGUGCAAGCGUUAAUCGGAUUUACUGGGCGUAAAGCGCGCGUAGGCGGCCAAUUAAGUCAAAUGUGAAAUCCCCGAGCUUAACUUGGGAAUUGCAUUCGAUACUGGUUGGCUAGAGUGUGGGAGAGGAUGGUAGAAUUCCAGGUGUAGCGGUGAAAUGCGUAGAGAUCUGGAGGAAUACCGAUGGCGAAGGCAGCCAUCUGGCCUAACACUGACGU